GACGAACGCUGGCGGCGUGCCUAAUACAUGCAAGUUGAGCGCUGAAGGUUGGUACUUGUACCAACUGGAUGAGCAGCGAACGGGUGAGUAACGCGUGGGGAAUCUGCCUUUGAGCGGGGGACAACAUUUGGAAACGAAUGCUAAUACCGCAUAAAAACUUUAAACACAAGUUUUAAGUUUGAAAGAUGCAAUUGCAUCACUCAAAGAUGAUCCCGCGUUGUAUUAGCUAGUUGGUGAGGUAAAGGCUCACCAAGGCGAUGAUACAUAGCCGACCUGAGAGGGUGAUCGGCCACAUUGGGACUGGGACACGGCCCAAACUCCUACGGGAAGCAGCAGUAGGGAAUCUUCGGCAAUGGACGGAAGUCUGACCGAGCAACGCCGCGGGAGUGAAGAAGGGUUUCGGAUCGGAAAACUCUGUUGGUAGAGAAGAACGUUGGUGAGAGUGGAAAGCUCAUCAAGUGACGGUAACUACUCAGAAAGGGACGGCUAACUACGUG
rnacentral:rRNA from 1 species